UACAGAGGUCCCAAGCGUUGUUCGGAUUCACUGGGCGUAAAGGGUGCGUAGGUGGUCUGAUAAGUUUGAUGUGAAAUCUCCGGGCUUAACCCGGAAACUGCAUUGAAUACUAUCUGGCUGGAGGGUUGGAGGGGGGACUGGAAUACUUGGUGUAGCAGUGAAAUGCGUAGAUAUCAAGUGGAACACCAGUGGCGAAGGCGAGUCCCUGGACAACUCCUGACACUGAGGCACGAAAGCUAGGGGAGCAAACAGG
rnacentral:rRNA from 1 species